UACGUAGGGUGCAAGCGUUGUCCGGAAUUAUUGGGCGUAAAGAGCUCGUAGGCGGUUUGUCGCGUCUGCUGUGAAAACGACGAGGCUCAACCUCGCGCCUGCAGUGGGUACGGGCAGACUAGAGUGCGGUAGGGGAGAUUGGAAUCCUGGUGUAGCGGUGGAAUGCGCAGAUAAUCAGGAGGAACACCGAUGGCGAAGGCAGAUCUCUGGGCCGUGAACUUGACGCUGAGGAGCGAAAGCGUGGGGAGCGAACGG
rnacentral:rRNA from 1 species